rnacentral:rRNA from 1 species
AAAAUGACUCUCGGCAAUGGAUAUCUCGGCUCUCGCAUCGAUGAAGAGCGCAGCGAAAUGCGAUACGUGGUGCGAAUUGCAGAAUCCCGCGAACCAUCGAGUCUUUGAACGCAAGUUGCGCCCGAGGCCGACCGGCCAAGGGCACGUCUGCCUGGGCGUCAAGCG